rnacentral:rRNA from 1 species
AACUUAACCUUCAAGAGCAUAGUAAAGCACAGAUAUACAACACCUCUGUACUAUGAGGAGACGCCCGUGCAAACCGGGCUGACUCUAAAAGCCCAAUAGCUAGCCCAACCCCCUAAAACAACCAUCCACCAUAACUAACCCCAAAAACACUUCACCUUUGUAAAACAAAC